CACACACCUUGCGCUCCGCGCAGUGUUGGGCGCAGCCUUCAAGGCUCGCCUCAAAUCCAGUGGCAGCACCUCAGAGCUCCUACGCGCAGUGAUCACCGCCGCCGGUGGAGUCCUGUGGGUGCUAGCUAGUCAACCCCCACUUGCUA
rnacentral:misc_RNA from 1 species